GAGCGCGCAGGCGCAGCUGAUGAUUUCAGGCUUGUUCUGAAAUAUGGGCGGUGCUGCUGAAACUGAGGAUGGCACACAACAGGUGAAAGUCUUGAAUAUUCAUAUAGCCUAUGCUCCACCUAGUGCAACCAAUUAUCUCAGCAACGAUCUGAACUGUCACAUCAGAUAUGACCCAUUGGACUUUUCUCCGUAAAACGUCAGAUUUUUAAAGCCUUCCUAAGCCAGCCAUAGCACUCUCUAACUCAUCCAAUAACCAAGAACCAAGGAAAAUCCCACUCAGCAAUGGAGGAAAAGACCUACUCAGAGAACCUGGAGAAAAAACAGUAAAUAAAGGAGGAAAAGAUCAACUCGAAGAACCUGGAGAAAAACCAGUCAAUAAAGGAGAAAAAGAGAAGAACCAGACAACAAAGGAGGAAAAGAUCGACUCUGAAAACCUGGACAAGAAACAGUCAACAAAGGAGGAAAAGACACAGGUCAUGGAGGUUGAGGUUAUCAGAACCUUGCUCAAUGCUUCUUCGUUGAUGCUGAAGCUGAUAUCAUGCGUUUGACCGCUCUGUCAGGCUGAACAUCACAGCACAUCACAGCUCCAGCAUUGCUCAGUGACAUCAGCAUGAAGAUUACAGUAAUUAAGGAAUGAUUGAUUUUUUUUCUCAAAUUGGCUUCUUGAUAAAUUAAGUGCAGCUGAAUUAUGGUAAACUAUAUAGUGAAUAUAGGUUUCAGAAUGAGCUAUAUAUGUCUAUUAGAAUAGAUACACUAGUCUAAAUAUUUAUAGUCCAUACGUAUUUAUUAUAGGCUACUAAAUAUUUUAAAGUGCCUCUGCAAACCUUUAAACACCUUCAAAAUGCUGGUGCAACUGAAGAUUUGCAUCUCCAUUCAACCUGAGGUGAUGAACUUCCAUUUUUCUCUGAGGUGUCAUUCUGAUACCUCAAAACCUAUUUAAAAAAAAAAAAAAAAAAAAAAAAAAAAACCUACACAAUCACACAAAAAAAGCUUGAUUAAUCUGUUCUUAAUUUGUUUCUGAUUGCAUGCCUUUAUAUAACCAAUUAUUCAGUUUCAUUUUCAUAAGUUGGGGUCUAUGUUUUUUAAAGAGCAAAACAGGUGCAAAAUUUGAUUGUUUUAAAAUAACACUUACAUUUGUAUAAUUUUAAUGUCAGUGAUUAAUGGCAAUUAAUAUGAUUUAAAAAACACAAUAGAGCCAGAACUGAUCAAAUCUAAAGGCUAAUUCUAGAUAAAUCAAAUGAAGAUAAAUUGGAGGUAACUUUAAAUUGGAGGAGUUUACAAAUGUUACACAUUGUUAACUGAGGAAAUGAGAGCUGAUCAGCUUCAGUUCACCCUUAACUGCUUUAAGAGAUUGUGUACACGACCAUAACAAUAUCAUAGACUGCUGUCCUCUCAUAUCUUUCUGUGAUCUGAUUAUAUUACAUACUGAAUAAAAAUUGAUUUUAGAAAUUGCAAACUGUAAGCAUAGUAAAUAUACAUAGUACAAAGAUGAUUAGACCAUGAUUAAAGAUGAUUUUAUUUAACGAAUGAAAAUCAAUAUUAUCAAAUUACCUUACGACUGAUAUACAUGGGAAUAAAAUAACUAUAGGGUCUUCUGUGUCAAUUAAACUGGAGUUGAAUUUAAAUUGUACUGAAACUGUUUAUCAACUUCCAACAUUGGUAAUUAACUGAAAUGUGAUAAUUGUUAAAGGACCAUGAAACUAUUAGUGAUUAAUGUGAGGAUCUCUGUUGUUUAGUCUCAUGUAUAGGUCUUAUUUUAAUAUAAUAUCUUUUUGAAUGCUAUAAUUUAUUAUUAUUAUUUCUUUUGUUUUCCUAAUAGUUUGUUUAAUUUGAAUGAAAUUAAAUGAUAAUGUUUUUUCUUUAAUUUCAUGCUGCGUGAAGCAUCUGUGCUUUUUAUUUAACCACUUGAAGCCCCUGCUGUAUGGGCGCAAAAAGACUUGUUGAAUUGAUUUCUUUUAAAUAAAGGUCAUAUUGUGGUCGA